AGAGGAUGUGGGCCCCUUGGCUCGUUAGAGAAAUUCAAGGGUAGCAAGAGUCUCAUUGGACUCCAACAAAUUCACAUGCCACAAAAAAAAUGGCAAGUUAAUAUUUAUCCAGAAUAUAAGGUAACUAAUUCAAAUAAAAUAAUAUGAAAUUGUGCUUAAAGAUCAUGAGACAGUAAACAAAAAAUAAUGUAUAUUCAAUUAUAAUAAAGUUGAAAACACAAUUAAUUUCUAUUUACUGUCGAGAAUAUCAGUAACUCUAACAAAGGAUUAAUAUACACUGGAAGUUUAUGACUGCCACACUAUAUAAUGCUAAUUGAUCUAUAACAGUAGAUUAAAAUUUGAAACAAGAAAUACUGUGGAAAAGAAAGAACUUAAUGUCGAAAUUAGCGGGUUAGAGAUUAACAAGCACCAAUAGGAUGAAAUAA
rnacentral:lncRNA from 1 species